CCCUUAGAUGUUCUGGGCCGCACGCGUGCUACACUGACCGGCGCAACAAGUUUCUUUCCUUGGCUCGAUAGGCCUGGGUAAUCUUUGAACGCCGGUCGUGAUGGGGAUAGAUCCUUGCAAUUUUUGAUCUUCAACGAGGAAUUCCUAGUAAAUGCGAGUCAUCAUCUCGCGUUGAUUACGUCCCUGCCCUUUGUACACACCGCCCGUCGCUCCUACCGAUUGAAUGGUCCGGUGAAGCGUUCGGACCGUGGCCUUUGGACGGUUCGCCGUCUGUUGGCUGCGGGAAGUUCGUUAAACCUUAUCAUUUAGAGGAAGGAGAANUCGUAACA
rnacentral:rRNA from 1 species